UCCAAUGGUAUGUACCACUGGAAAACGGGGAACUGCAGCAACUGUGAAUUCUACCCAUCGUUAACAAAGGUGGAGGCACGCCAUAAUCAUUAUUUACGGAAAUCCAUGAUUAGACAUGUGAAUGAAAAGGAUCUUGCUUGGGAGAAAAGGAAGAUUUGGAAGGAAAAACUUAAGUUACAACGUCGAUUGCUAUUUGAUGAGGAUAUAUCGUUGGAAUCAUGUUCUGACAACAGUUCGGAUGAGGAUGAACUUCCACGAUUUAUAGAUGUGGAAGUUGAACAUUCUAUAUGAUUGGGUAUUAAGAAAUAUGAUUUUGGUGCACCAGAUCGUACAUGCAAGUACUGUGGUGUUAUAGUUUGACACCAAGAGAGGUCUAAAGGAAGCGUUGUUGACCCCGAGUUUAGCAUAUGUUGUUCCAAAGGAAAUGCCAAGCUUCCUCUUCUUAGAGAUGCCCCGGAAUAUCUAAAGAAGUUGUUAGACUUUAAUGGUGGUUCGUUGUCAAGGAAGUUUAGGAACAGUAUAAGGACGUACAACUCUAUGCUUGCAUUUACCUCAACUGGAGCAAGAUUUGACGACAAUUAUAGCAGUAAAGGUAAGGGACCCUGUACGUAUAGAAUUCAGGGAUAGAGAUAUCACAGAAUUGGCUUCAUAGUGCCUCCCAGCAACAAGGAUCCAGGAUACAACCAGAUCUAUGUAUGUGAUACAGAAUUGGCACAUGAAACAUUGCGUCGGAAAACAUAUUUUUUAAACAGACACAACUGGAUGACUUGGGAGUAGAUGGUGCACAUAAAAAAAAUGCAGACAUGGUCCAGAUGAAAAAUAAUAAUAAGAAGAGUGACAAUGAAUUGUACUUGGGCGUCAUCACAGGUUUAAUCACUAUGAUGGAUCAAAAUAAUCCGUAUGCAAAGACAUUCAGGAUGGCCAAGCAUAGGAUGCAAUCCCAACCCGCCAUCGAAUUGCGGUUAAGAAUCAUUAGUAGACGGCAAAAAGAUGCGAGGCAGUAUACCUUACCAACAUGUUCCGAAGUGGCAGCUUCAAUAAUCCAUACUCCUACAGAUGAUAAUGCGUACAUGUAUACCAUAGUUGAACAUAAGAAAAAUGGUUAUACUAGAAUUAAUGAGAUACACCCAUGCUAUAUGUGUAUGCAGUUUCUUCUUUUA